rnacentral:rRNA from 1 species
UACAGAGGUCCCAAGCGUUGUUCGGAUUCAUUGGGCGUAAAGGGUGCGUAGGCGGCGCGGUAAGUCAGGUGUGAAAUCUCGGGGCUUAACUCCGAAACUGCAUUCGAUACUGCCGUGCUUGAGGACUGGAGAGGAGACUGGAAUUUACGGUGUAGCGGUGAAAUGCGCAGAUAUCGGGAGGAACACCAGUAGCGAAGGCGGCACUCUGGGCCGGAACUGACGCUGAGGAGCGAAAGCGUGGGUAGCAAACAGG